GCAGGUUUAGCUCAGACGGGAGAGCGUCGGUUUUACACGCCGAAUGUCGCGGGUUCGAUCCCUGCAACCUGCACCA
rnacentral:tRNA from 1 species